GACGAACGCUGGCGGCGUGCUUAACACAUGCAAGUCGAACGGAAAGGCCCUGCUUUUGUGGGGUGCUCGAGUGGCGAACGGGUGAGUAACACGUGAGUAACCUGCCCUUGACUUUGGGAUAACUUCAGGAAACUGGGGCUAAUACCGCAUAGGAGCUCCUGCUGCACGGUGGGGGUUGGAAAGUUUCGGCGGUUGGGGAUGGACUCGCGGCUUAUCAGCUUGUUGGUGGGGUAGUGGCUUACCAAGGCUUUGACGGGUAGCCGGCCUGAGAGGGUGACCGGCCACAUUGGGACUGAGAUACGGCCCAGACUCCUACGGGAGGCAGCAGUGGGGAAUAUUGCACAAUGGGCGGAAGCCUGAUGCAGCAACGCCGCGUGCGGGAUGACGGCCUUCGGGUUGUAAACCGCUUUCGCCUGUGACGAAGCGUGAGUGACGGUAAUGGGUAAAGAAGCACCGGCUAACUACGUG
rnacentral:rRNA from 1 species